GGGGAUUUAGCUCAGCGGCAUAAGCGCCUGCCUUGCAAGCAGGUAGUCGUGAGUUCAAUCCCCG
rfam:Cavia porcellus supercont2_132 genomic scaffold, whole genome shotgun sequence.